rnacentral:rRNA from 1 species
GAUGAACGCUGGCGGCGUGCCUAAUACAUGCAAGUCGAGCGAACAGACGAGGAGCUUGCUCCUUUGACGUUAGCGGCGGACGGGUGAGUAACACGUGGGUAACCUACCUAUAAGACUGGGAUAACUUCGGGAAACCGGAGCUAAUACCGGAUAAUAUUUCGAACCGCAUGGUUCGAUAGUGAAAGAUGGCUUUGCUAUCACUUAUAGAUGGACCUGCGCCGUAUUAGCUAGUUGGUAAGGUAACGGCUUACCAAGGCAACGAUACGUAGCCGACCUGAGAGGGUGAUCGGCCACACUGGAACUGAGACACGGUCCAGACUCCUACGGGAGGCAGCAGUAGGGAAUCUUCCGCAAUGGGCGAAAGCCUGACGGAGCAACGCCGCGUGAGUGAUGAAGGUCUUCGGAUCGUAAAACUCUGUUAUUAGGGAAGAACAAACGUGUAAGUAACUGUGCACGUCUUGACGGUACCUAAUCAGAAAGCCACGGCUAACUACGUGCCAGCAGCCGCGGUAAUACGUAGGUGGCAAGCGUUAUCCGGAAUUAUUGGGCGUAAAGCGCGCGUAGGCGGUUUUUUAAGUCUGAUGUGAAAGCCCACGGCUCAACCGUGGAGGGUCAUUGGAAACUGGAAAACUUGAGUGCAGAAGAGGAAAGUGGAAUUCCAUGUGUAGCGGUGAAAUGCGCAGAGAUAUGGAGGAACACCAGUGGCGAAGGCGACUUUCUGGUCUGUAACUGACGCUGAUGUGCGAAAGCGUGGGGAUCAAACAGGAUUAGAUACCCUGGUAGUCCACGCCGUAAACGAUGAGUGCUAAGUGUUAGGGGGUUUCCGCCCCUUAGUGCUGCAGCUAACGCAUUAAGCACUCCGCCUGGGGAGUACGACCGCAAGGUUGAAACUCAAAGGAAUUGACGGGGACCCGCACAUGCGGUGGAGCAUGUGGUUUAAUUCGAAGCAACGCGAAGAACCUUACCAAAUCUUGACAUCCUUUGACCCUUCUAGAGAUAGAAGUUUCCCCUUCGGGGGACAAAGUGACAGGUGGUGCAUGGUUGUCGUCAGCUCGUGUCGUGAGAUGUUGGGUUAAGUCCCGCAACGAGCGCAACCCUUAAGCUUAGUUGCCAUCAUUAAGUUGGGCACUCUAAGUUGACUGCCGGUGACAAACCGGAGGAAGGUGGGGAUGACGUCAAAUCAUCAUGCCCCUUAUGAUUUGGGCUACACACGUGCUACAAUGGACAAUACAAAGGGCAGCGAAACCGCGAGGUCAAGCAAAUCCCAUAAAGUUCUUCUCAGUUCGGAUUGUAGUCUGCAACUCGACUACAUGAAGCUGGAAUCGCUAGUAAUCGUAGAUCAGCAUGCUACGGUGAAUACGUUCCCGGGUCU